rnacentral:rRNA from 1 species
AGAGUUUGAUCAUGGCUCAGAUUGAACGCUGGCGGAAUGCUUUACACAUGCAAGUCGAGCGGCAGCACGGGGGCAACCUGGUGGCGAGCGGCGAACGGGUGAGUAACACAUCGGAACGUACCCUAUCGUGGGGGAUAACGAAUCGAAAGAUUCGCUAAUACCGCAUACGACCCGAGGGUGGAAGCGGGGGAUCGCAAGACCUCGCGCGACAGGAGCGGCCGAUGGCGGAUUAGCUAGUUGUGGGGUAAAGGCCCACCAAGGCGACGAUCCGUAGCGGGUCUGAGAGGACGGCCCGCCACACUGGGACUGAGACACGGCCCAGACUCCUACGGGAGGCAGCAGUGGGGAAUUUUGGACAAUGGGGGCAACCCUGAUCCAGCCAUUCCGCGUGAGUGAAGAAGGCCUUCGGGUUGUAAAGCUCUUUCGGCAGGAACGAAAAGGCUCUCUCUAACAUAGGGGGUCAAUGACGGUACCUGAAGAAGAAGCACCGGCUAACUACGUG